rnacentral:rRNA from 1 species
UCGGGAGAGCCGGGGCGCUCGGGCGAUCGAUACGACAAGGGACCUCUAACUGGGCCCGAUCGCUCGGCGACAAACCCUCGGCGAGCCCGACGCAUUUCCCCCCGCACUGCGGACGCCGCAACCGGUCGGGUAGCAGCGAGCGUCGGCCAAGAGGGCGGACGACGGCAGGUGACGGAGUCGGCCUCUAUACGAGGUCGGUCCUCCGUUGUUAGCCGGUUCCGCCCGUGGCGCGACACCCGACCGAGGUCGAAGUUCCCGAUCACCGGGAACACUCGACGCCCCCUUCCCGAGCGGGAGUGCCGGCAGGCGUUCAUCGCGGCGACGGCGAGUCACCCACCGCGGUGGCCGUCCGCGUCGCGGUCGCCGGUGGCAGGUCACUGGCCCCGCGGGGGUGCGAAAGAUGGUUGGCGGCGAGUAGGUCGGUCACCCACCCGACCCGUCUUGAAACACGGACCAAGGAGUCUAACAUGUGCGCGAGUCACGGGGUCUUGAACAGGCCCGGAGGCGCAAUGAAAGUGAAGGUCGAGAUGACUCGACCGAGUUGGGAUCCGAGUGAUGUCGGAGCACCAACGGCCCGCUCCGACCGGUACUAACGGUGGAGCGGAGUCCGAGCGUACACGUUGGGACCCGAAAGAUGGUGAACUAUGCCUGGGCAGGACGAAGCCAGAGGAAACUCUGGUGGAGGUCCGAGCGGU